UUUAACUGCAACCAUGAGUUUCCGUGUCCAAUUUUGAUCGUCCGUCUUAUUUAAAUUUCUUUUAUAAUUAGUGUUUUUGUUGUUAUGAGAUGAUAAAAUAUGAAUAGUACUUUAUACAUGACUUAUAUUUUUAAUUUUUUUAAAAGAAAUUAUAAAUAAGACGGACGAUAGAAUUUUAGUAUGAAAACAUAGCUACACUUAAA
rfam:Oryza rufipogon genomic scaffold, chr06